CUGGCGGCGUGCUUAACACAUGCAAGUCGAACGAAGCUCUCCGAACUGAGAUUCGGUCAAGGUGAAGAGAUGACUUAGUGGCGGACGGGUGAGUAACGCGUGGGUAACCUGCCGUAUGCAGGGGGACAACAGUUGGAAACGACUGCUAAUACCGCAUAAGCGCACGGUUCUGCAUGGAACAGUGUGAAAAGAUUUAUCGGCAUACGAUGGACCCGCGUCUGAUUAGCUAGUUGGUGAGGUAACGGCCCACCAAGGCAACGAUCAGUAGCCGGCCUGAGAGGGUGAACGGCCACAUUGGGACUGAGACACGGCCCAAACUCCUACGGGAGGCAGCAGUGGGGAAUAUUGCACAAUGGGGGAAACCCUGAUGCAGCGACGCCGCGUGAGUGAAGAAGUAUUUCGGGUUGUAAACUUCUUUACCAGGGACGAAGGACGUGACGGUACCUGGAGAAAAAGCCACGGCUAACUACGUGCCAGCAGCGGC
rnacentral:rRNA from 1 species